GUACUGCUGAAGAGUCCCAAACUAGUGUGACGGAACAGCUGUCCAGUAC
rfam:Trichobilharzia regenti genome assembly, scaffold: TRE_scaffold0021848